rnacentral:rRNA from 1 species
ACAUUUCGGUGUGGCGAAGCUGAGAACUUAAGCGCCAGUAAACGGCGGUGGUAACUAUAACCAUCCUAAGGUAGCGAAAUUCCUUGUCGGGUAAGUUCCGACCUGCACGAAUGGCGUAACGACUUCUCGACUGUCUCAACCAUAGGCCCGGUGAAAUUGCAUUACGAGUAAAGAUGCUCGUUUCGCGCAGCAGGACGGAAAGACCCCGGGACCUUUACUACAGUUUGAUAUUGGUGUUCGGUUCGGCUUGUGUAGGAUAGGUGGGAGACUGUGAAGCAUGCACGCCAGUGUGUGUGGAGUCGUCGUUGAAAUACCACUCUGGUCGUGCUGGAUGUCUAACCUGGGUCCGUGAUCCGGAUCAGGGACAGUGUCUGAUGGGUAGUUUAACUGGGGCGGUUGCCUCCUAAAGAGUAACGGAGGCGCCCAAAGGUUCCCUCAGCCUGGUUGGUAAUCAGGUGUUGAGUGUAAGUGCACAAGGGAGCUUGACUGUGAGACCGACGGGUCGAGCAGGGACGAAAGUCGGGACUAGUGAUCCGGCGGUGGCUUGUGGAAGCGCCGUCGCUCAACGGAUAAAAGGUACCCCGGGGAUAACAGGCUGAUCUUCCCCAAGAGUCCAUAUCGACGGGAUGGUUUGGCACCUCGAUGUCGGCUCGUCGCAUCCUGGGGCUGGAGUCGGUCCCAAGGGUUGGGCUGUUCGCCCAUUAAAGCGGUACGCGAGCUGGGUUUAGAACGUCGUGAGACAGUUCGGUCCCUAUCCGCUGUGCGCGUAGGAAUAUUGAGAAGGGCUGUCCCUAGUACGAGAGGACCGGGACGGACGAACCUCUGGUGUGCCAGUUGUUCUGCCAAGGGCAUGGCUGGUUGGCUACGUUCGGGAGGGAUAACCGCUGAAAGCAUCUAAGCGGGAAGCCUGCUUCGAGAUGAGUAUUCCCACCUCCUUGAGAGGGUAAGGCUCCCAGUAGACGACUGGGUUGAUAGGCCGGAUAUGGAAGCCCUGUAAGGGGUGGAGUUGACCGGUACUAAUAGGCCGAGGGCUUGUCCUC